rnacentral:piRNA from 1 species
CAUUAAUGUGAGAGACUUAGAAAAAG